CCUACGGGCGGCAGCAGUGGGGAAUAUUGCACAAUGGGGGAAACCCUGAUGCAGCGACGUCGCGUGAGUGAAGAAGUAAUUCGUUACGUAAAGCUCUAUCAGCAGGGAAGAAAAUGACGGUACCUGAGUCAGAAGCCCCGGCUAACUACGUGCCAGCAGCCGCGGUAAUACGUAGGGGGCAAGCGUUAUCCGGAUUUACUGGGGGUAAAGGGAGCGUAGACGGUGCGGCAAGUCUGGAGGGAAAUGCCGCAGGUUAACUGCGGAACUGCUUUGGAAACUGGCGAACUAGAGUGCGGGAGGGGUAAGCGGAAUGCGUGGUGUAGCGGUGAAAUGCGUAGAGAUUAGGAAGAACACCGGUGGCGAAGGCAGCUUACUGGACCGUAACUGACGUUGAGGCUCGAAAGCGUGGGGAGCAAACAGGAUUAGAUACCCGGGUAGUC
rnacentral:rRNA from 1 species